rnacentral:rRNA from 1 species
CACGUAGGCGGACUGGAAAGUUGGAGGUGAAAUCCCAGGGCUCAACCUUGGAACUGCCUUCAAAACUAUCAGUCUGGAGUUCGAGAGAGGUGAGUGGAAUUCCGAGUGUAGAGGUGAAAUUCGUAGAUAUUCGGAGGAACACCAGUGGCGAAGGCGGCUCACUGGCUCGAUACUGACGCUGAGUGCGAAAGCGUGGGGAGCAAACA